UUUCCCCUGGGGUGCUCGCGAUGGUUCCGAUUUUUUGAACCGAUAAGCAUCCAAGCCUGGUGAUUGGCCCGAAGGAGACUGUUGUGCGCUGGAUUUAUCUCCGGUACCUGAAGUUUCCGGCAAAUUGCCCUCUUUAUUGAGUAGGGUUCAGGAUGACGGCCAGACGGCAUCACCGGGGGAACC
rfam:Ferrovum sp. Z-31 FEMY_contig000005, whole genome shotgun sequence.